rnacentral:pre_miRNA from 11 species
UAUUACUGCACAGGGAUGAAAGACCCCCAGAUUGGGGAGACCCUCACUCAAGUCUCGGGAUAAGCCGAUGACUCAAUAAUUCAAGAGAGACC